UUAUGAAUGGGUAAGUGGUGAACAUAAAUUCCUCUUGAAAGCUUUAAUAUGUCCUGAUUUAACAAUUUACAAAAUGAAUAAUUAAUACGUGAUGUCCGAAUUUAUUCAAAUAAUAAUCUCUUCUGAAUAAGAGCUUGAACCAUAAUCCCUUAUUGUCCUUUGUAUUUUUCAGUGAUUUUGCCAGUCUUCAUCGCCACCAUUGUCUUCUUCCUGGUGCUAGUAUGUGCUCUACUCUUUGUUAUCAGGGCUCAGAGGACUCAACACAACCUGCUUAAGAGUCAGGGGUCAGGUAACGCUAGCACAGUUGCUAUGAGCCAACAUCUACCAAGUGGAAAAGGAGAUGAGGAACCCAACAAAACAAAUGAGGGCAUUUAUGCUAACACCACUGA